UACGUAGGUGGCAAGCGUUGUCCGGAUUUAUUGGGUUUAAAGGGUGCGUAGGCGGUCUUUUAAGUCAGUGCUGAAAUAUCCCGGCUUAACCGGGAGGGUGGCAUUGAUACUGAAGGACUUGAGUACAGUCGAGGUAGGCGGAAUUGACGGUGUAGCGGUGAAAUGCUUAGAUAUCGUCAAGAGCACCGAUAGUGUAGACGCUUACUAGGCUGAAACUGACGCUGAGGCACGAAAGUGUGGGGAUCAAACAGG
rnacentral:rRNA from 1 species